GAUGAACGCUGGCGGCGUGCCUAAUACAUGCAAGUCGAACGCAUUGUGGUUGAAAUGAUAUGAAGAACUUGUUCAGAUUUGAUUUUCAACAUUGCAAUGAGUGGCGAACGGGUGAGUAACACGUGGGGAAAACCUACCUCUUAAGCAGGGGAUAACAUUUGGAAACAAAUGCUAAUACCGUAUAAUAAUUAAAACCGCAUGGUUUUAGUUUAAAAGAUGGUCUUGCUAUCACUAAGAGAUGGUCCCGCGGUGUAUUAGUUAGUUGGUGAGGGUAAUGGACUCACCAAGACAAUGAUACAUAGCCGAGUUGAGAGACUGACCGGCCACAAUGGGACUGAGACACGGCCCAUACUCCUAC
rnacentral:rRNA from 1 species